rnacentral:rRNA from 1 species
GACGAACGCUGGCGGCGUGCUUAACACAUGCAAGUCGAACGAGAGCGUAGAGAAAGCUUGCUUUUUCUACAAUCUAGUGGCAAACGGGUGAGUAACGCGUAAACAACCUGCCCUACGGAUGGGGACAACAGCUGGAAACGGCUGCUAAUACCGAAUACGUUCCGAAAGUCGCAUGACUAUCGGAAGAAAGGAUGGCCUCUAUUUAUAAGCUAUCGCCGGAGGAGGGGUUUGCGUCUGAUUAGCUAGUUGGAGGGGUAACGGCCCACCAAGGCGACGAUCAGUAGGCGGUCUGAGAGGAUGAACGGCCACAUUGGAACUGAGACACGGUCCAGACUCCUACGGGAGGCAGCAGUGGGGAAUCUUCCGCAAUGGGCGAAAGCCUGACGGAGCAACGCCGCGUGAGUGAAGACGGCCUUCGGGUUGUAAAGCUCUGUUAUACGGGACGAAUAAUCUUGUGGUUAAUACCCAUGAGAAGUGACGGUACCGUAAGAGAAAGCCACGGCUAACUACGUG